rnacentral:rRNA from 1 species
GAGCAGGUGCGAAAGCAGGUCAUAGUGAUCCGGUGGUUCUGAAUGGAAGGGCCAUCGCUCAACGGAUAAAAGGUACUCCGGGGAUAACAGGCUGAUACCGCCCAAGAGUUCAUAUCGACGGCGGUGUUUGGCACCUCGAUGUCGGCUCAUCACAUCCUGGGGCUGAAGUAGGUCCCAAGGGUAUGGCUGUUCGCCAUUUAAAGUGGUACGCGAGCUGGGUUUAGAACGUCGUGAGACAGUUCGGUCCCUAUCUGCCGUGGGCGCUGGAGAACUGAGGGGGGCUGCUCCUAGUACGAGAGGACCGGAGUGGACGCAUCACUGGUGUUCGGGUUGUCAUGCCAAUGGCACUGCCCGGUAGCUAAAUGCGGAAGAGAUAAGUGCUGAAAGCAUCUAAGCACGAAACUUGCCCCGAGAUGAGUUCUCCCUGACCCUUUAAGGGUCCUGAAGGAACGUUGAAGACGACGACGUUGAUAGGCCGGGUGUGUAAGCGCAGCGAUGCGUUGAGCUAACCGGUACUAAUGAACCGUGAGGCUUAACCUUACAACGCCGAAGCUGUU